AGCGAACGCUGGCGGCAGGCCUAACACAUGCAAGUCGAACGAAGUCUUCGGAGUUAGUGGCGGACGGGUGAGUAACACGUGGGAACGUGCCUUUAGGUUCGGAAUAACUCAGGGAAACUUGUGCUAAUACCGAAUGUGCCCUUCGGGGGAAAGAUUUAUCGCCUUUGGAGCGGCCCGCGUCUGAUUAGCUAGUUGGUGAGGUAAAGGCUCACCAAGGCUACGAUCAGUAGCUGGUCUGAGAGGAUGAUCAGCCACACUGGGACUGAGACACGGCCCAGACUCCUACGGGAGGCAGCAGUGGGGAAUCUUGCGCAAUGGGCGAAAGCCUGACGCAGCCAUGCCGCGUGAAUGAUGAAGGUCUUAGGAUUGUAAAAUUCUUUCACCGGGGAAGAUAAUGACGGUACCCGGAGAAGAAGCCCCGGCUAACUUCGUGCCAGCAGCCGCCGCGGUAA
rnacentral:rRNA from 1 species